AUUGAACGCUGGCGGCAGGCCUAACACAUGCAAGUCGAACGAGUGGCGGACGGGUGAGUAAUGUCUGGGAAACUGGCUGAUGGAGGGGGAUAACUACGGGAAACUGUAGCUAAUACCGCGUACCAUCGGCUGUGCCCAAGUGGGAUUAGCUAGUUGGUGGGGUAAAGGCUCACCAAGCCGACGAUCCCUAGCUGGUCUGAGAGGAUGACCCGCCACACUGGAACUGAGACACGGUCCAGACUCCUACGGGAGGCAGCAGUGGGGAAUAUUGCACAAUGGGGGCAAGCCUGAUGCAGCCAUGCCGCGUGAAUGAAGAAGGCCUUCGGGUUGUAAAGUACUUUCAGCGGGGAGGCGUUACCUGCAGAAGAAGCACCGGCUAACUCCGUGCCAGCCGCCGCGGUAAUAC
rnacentral:rRNA from 1 species